AGGGGAAUAGCUGGGUCAAAUGGUGGUUCCAUUCCCAGCUUUCCCAGGAAUCUCCAUACUGCUUUCCAAAUUGGUCACACCAAUUUGCUAUCCCACCAGCAAU
rnacentral:pre_miRNA from 1 species